CCUACUCCUCCUAUCCAUCAUGUUCAGUAGUCUUCGGAGAGUUUUCAAUUAAAGCCAUGGCGACCAGAGCUUUGCUUGCCGUUCUAUCUGCUUCACCACCACGCAUGAUCAGAAUCAAAGUCUCAACCUUUCCUUCUUCGUCUUCUUCUUCAAGUAUCAAGUUCCAAAGACAUAUUACAAUAGCUCGAUGCUUCUCGUCGGACACGAACCCCUCCGUUCUUCAGCCGCCGGACGUAUCCCGUCUAGCUGAGACAGCUCGAAUCUCUCUCACCCCAUCCGAGAUUGAGGAAUGUGGAGCUAAGAUUCGUCAAGUCAUCGACUGGUUUGGUCAGCUUCAGCAAGUCGAUGUUAGCAGUGUGGAGCCAGCGAUUAGAGCAGAAAUGGAAGGUGGGAAUUUGCGAGAGGAUGCUCCAGAAACAUUUGAGAACAGGGAAAGUAUAAGAGCUUCGAUUCCAAGCUUUGAUGAGGUGUAUUUGAAAGUACCUAAAGUACUAAACAAAGAGUGACUUUUUUUUGUCAGCUUCUUCGGGUGUGGCUGAAGAGAUUCAUUCUCAGCUCCGGUUAUUGUUCCACCAUCUCUUUGUUUUCUUUAAAAAAAAAAAACUGGUUAGGAGAGAGCAAAGCUUGCUCUACAUUAUCAAGUCUCGCGUAGUCUAUUACUCUACAACAUGGUGAUACUUUAUAAUCUCAAUCCAUCCAUUUCGAUCGGUGAUCGUUUUUAAACCCGGGCCAGUCCAUUGUUCUACAACACACAAGCUCAUAGCAUUCCUUAUGUUGAACGUUGUUUUGUCCAAUGGCAUGACUCGGCAUUGUGACCGAGUCAAUGGUCGAACCGGUCCAACUGGUUUAACCAGAUUUUUAAUAAUUAAGCAUAAAUAUAAAAUUAUAUAUUAAUUUAUAUAAUAUUUUUUUAUCAA